AUUGAACGCUGGCGGCAUGCCUUACACAUGCAAGUCGAACGGCAGCGGGGGAGAAGCUUGCUUUUCCUGCCGGCGAGUGGCGAACGGGUGAGUAAUACAUCGGAACGUGCCCUGUAGUGGGGGAUGACUAGUCGAAAGAUUAGCUAAUACCGCAUACGUACUGAGGUAGAAAGUGGGGGACCUUCGGGCCUCACGCUAUUCGAGCGGCCGACGUCUGAUUAGCUAGUAGGUGAGGUAAAGGCUCACCUAGGCGACGAUCAGUAGCGGGUCUGAGAGGAUGAUCCGCCACACUGGGACUGAGACACGGCCCAGACUCCUACGGGAGGCAGCAGUGAGGAAUUUUGGACAAUGGGCGAAAGCCUGAUCCAGCCAUGCCGCGUAUCUGAAGAAGGCCUUCGGGUUGUAAAGGACUUUUGUCAGGGAGGAAAUCCCUAGUGCUAAUAACACUGGGGGAUGACAGUACCUGAAGAAUAAGCACCGGCUAACUACGUGCCAGCCGCCGCAGUAA
rnacentral:rRNA from 1 species